rnacentral:rRNA from 1 species
GAUGAACGCUGGCGGCGCGCCUAACACAUGCAAGUCGAACGGCACCCCUCUCCGGAGGGAAGCGAGUGGCGAACGGCUGAGUAACACGUGGAGAACCUGCCCCCUCCCCCGGGAUAGCCGCCCGAAAGGACGGGUAAUACCGGAUACCCCGGGGUGCCGCAUGGCACCCCGGCUAAAGCCCCGACGGGAGGGGAUGGCUCCGCGGCCCAUCAGGUAGACGGCGGGGUGACGGCCCACCGUGCCGACAACGGGUAGCCGGGUUGAGAGACCGACCGGCCAGAUUGGGACUGAGACACGGCCCAGACUCCUACGGGAGGCAGCAGUGGGGAAUCUUGCGCAAUGGGGGGAACCCUGACGCAGCGACGCCGCGUGCGGGACGGAGGCCUUCGGGUCGUAAACCGCUUUCAGCAGGGAAGAGUCAAGACUGUACCUGCAGAAGAAGCCCCGGCUA